GGUAACUCCUGCUUAGCCUAGUUACCGGGGGCAUUGUGCUCUGUUUGUCACAGACAGGUAGCUGUUGAGCUCAGCUGUUGAGCUACUGGCUUUUUGCUGAUCAGGAGGAACAGCACAUCCAUCCUCUUACACUGCGCUCAAGGCGUUCAGUAAGAAGAUUGUUGAUUGAAGAGUGGUUAACAAAAUUCAUGGAGGACAGGCGACAGCGUCGACUACAUGGCCUUCCGGAACAAUAUUUAUAUGGUACAGAGACAAAACAAAUGACCUACAAUGACUUCAUUAACAAGGAGUUGAUCCUUUUAUCAAAUUCAGACGAUGAAAGAUCUAUUCCCUCCCUUGUUGAUGGUAAGCUGACAGUUUAUUAUGAUUUGUU